AAUUACCCACUCCCAGCACGGGGAGGUAGUGACGAAAAAUAACGAUACGGGACUCAUCCGAGGCCCCGUAAUCGGAAUGAGUACAAUUUAAAACUUUUCCCGAGGAUCAAUUGGAGGGUAAGUCUGGUGCCAGCAGCCGCGGUAAUUCCAGCUCCAAUAGCGUAUAUUAAAGUUGUUGCGGUUAAAAAGCUCGUAGUCGAAUCUGUGUCCCGCGCCGCUGGUUCAUCGCUCGCGGUGUUCAACUGGCGUGUCCGCGGGACGUCCUGCCGGUGGGCACUCGCAUCGUUUCGGCGGUGCGUGGCCCUACUCGUAGCCGUCUCGCGCGGUUGCGAAUCCCAUCGCGGUGCUCUUUAUUGAGUGUCGAGGUGGGCCGGCACGUUUACUUUGAACAAAUUAGAGUGCUUAAAGCAGGCCAAUUUUGCCUGAAUAUUGUGUGCAUGGAAUAAUGAAAUAGGACCUCGGUUCUAUUUUGUUGGUUUUCGGAACCCCGAGGUAAUGAUUAAUAGGAACGGAUGGGGGCAUUCGUAUUGCGACGUUAGAGGUGAAAUUCUUGGAUCGUCGCAAGACGGACAGAAGCGAAAGCAUUUGCCAAAAACGCUUUCAUUGAUCAAGAACGAAAGUUAGAGGUUCGAAGGCGAUCAGAUACCGCCCUAGUUCUAACCAUAAACGAUGCCAGCUAGCGAUCCGCCGACGUUCCUCCGAUGACUCGGCGGGCAGCUUCCGGGAAACCAAAGCUUUUGGGUUCCGGGGGAAGUAUGGUUGCAAAGCUGAAACUUAAAGGAAUUGACGGAAGGGCACCACCAGGAGUGGAGCCUGCGGCUUAAUUUGACUCAACACGGGACACCUCACCAGGCCCGGACACCGGAAGGAUUGACAGAUUGAUAGCUCUUUCUUGAUUCGGUGGGUGGUGGUGCAUGGCCGUUCUUAGUUGGUGGA
rnacentral:rRNA from 1 species